rnacentral:rRNA from 1 species
AGUCACUGACUAUUAGACUACCCGUGUACGUCCCAGCUGUAAACGAUGCAGGCUAGGUGUUUGGACGGCCACGUGCCGUUCUAGUGCCGCAGGGAAGCUGUUAAGCCUGCCGCCUGGGGAGUACGAUCGCAAGAUUGAAACUUAAAGGAAUUGGCGGGGGAGCACCACAAGGGGGUGAAGCUUGCGGUUUAAUUGGAGUCAACGCCGGAAAUCUCACCGGGAGCGACAGCAGUGUGAAGGCCAGAUUAAAGGUCUUGCCAGACGAGCUG